rnacentral:rRNA from 1 species
GACGAACGCUGGCGGCGUGCCUAAUACAUGCAAGUGGGACGCAAGGGAACACACUGUGCUUGCACACCGUGUUUUCUUGAGUCGCGAACGGGUGAGUAACGCGUAGGUAACCUGCCUAUUAGCGGGGGAUAACUAUUGGAAACGAUAGCUAAUACCGCAUAAUAUUAAUUAUUGCAUGAUAAUUGAUUGAAAGAUGCAAGCGCAUCACUAGUGGAUGGACCUGCGUUGUAUUAGCUAGUUGGUAAGGUAAGAGCUUACCAAGGCGACGAUACAUAGCCGACCUGAGAGGGUGAUCGGCCACACUGGGACUGAGACACGGCCCAGACUCCUACGGGAGGCAGCAGUAGGGAAUCUUCGGCAAUGGACGAAAGUCUGACCGAGCAACGCCGCGUGAG